rnacentral:tRNA from 1 species
GCCCCCGUAGCUCAGGGGACAGAGCACAGCUCUCCUAAAGCUGGUGUCGACCGUUCGAAUCGGUCCGGGGGCGCCA